rnacentral:rRNA from 1 species
GGGGAUCUUACUAGGUCCGGACCGAUUCUAUGAUCGUCGUACUGUGGGGUGCUACGUGAUUACUGGAUGAGUGGUGCAUGGCCGUUCUUAGUUCGUGGUGUUAAUUGUCUACUUAAUUGUCAUCGGUUCUCGUAUCAUGCGAGAAUUGAUAACGAACGAGAUCGAGACCCGUGGUUGCGUGUGUUUGAAUUCGGUAUUACUACGGGGAUCGCGUAACACUCCACGGUACGAUCGAAAGACUCGGCAAUAACAGGUCUGUGAUGCCCUCAGAUGUUCUAGGCUGCACACGUGCUACAGUGUGG